AAGAAUAUAGUUUAAAAAAAUAAAAUAUUUGAUUUGCAUUCAGAAGAUAAAUUAAAUUAUUCUUA
rnacentral:tRNA from 1 species